AUGGCAGCCGAGUCCUCUGUUCCACAAACUUCCUCUGAAUCGGCUGCUCACAAGAUGGGCUUCUUCAGAGUCUCUGAUCUUCUUGUCAAACUGAGCACCAAAUGUUUGAUUGAGUUGGAUGCCGUCCGCAGCCCAACGUCUCCCUUAGACCUGAAAUUGUUCACAGGCCUUGCUACCAAAUCACCCAGAUCGUCUUUCCUUGAUGCCGGCGCAGCCAGCCAGAACCAAAAGAUCUUGCUCGGGGACAGGGUUGGCCUUGGACUGGUGGAUUCUCUCAGUCAUGAAAACAACCCCACACCCUUGGGCAGCAGGAAGGUUCUCGGAUCUGAGAUGAGGAUUACUGACAACUUAACUCUCAAGAACAGCUCCACUGCUCCUAAUCAAGCUGGACUGCUUGAACAGAAAGAUGAGAAUAUGAGUGAUGGACUCAACGGUAGUAUCAUGUCCCUGGAUGACAUUGUCAAUUCAGAGGAUUACACCUGUGUUGUUACCCGUGGUCCGAACCCUAGAACUACCCACAUUUUUGGAGACCGUGUUUUUGAGUUUCAAGCUGAGCAACUGAUGCCUGAUGAGGGUGGGUGUGAGGAGAGUUUGGCCCCUCAUCUGAAUGGGGAUACCAUGAGCUUCUGUUGUUUUUGCGGUGACAAGCUCAAAGAAGGGAAAGACAUCUAUAUCUACCAGGGUGACAAAGCCUUCUGCAGCAUGGAGUGCAGGGAGAACUUCAUGGAAGAUGAGAUGGAAGGUGAACCUUCGAUAGGUCACUCUGAUCCCAGCUGCCCAUCCUUUGACAAUCGUCGCAUUUUCCAACUGAUCCAGUGA
rnacentral:rRNA from 1 species